rnacentral:lncRNA from 1 species
AGGCAAUCCAUCUGUUUUUGUUUUCUGUACCACAUUUCCUUCUCUAUAUUUUUUGCCCUGGGCUUUGAGAUACUGCUUCAACUUGAGCUUUUGGGGAACUAAUUAGUGUUUCAACAGCACAGCAGAGACAGCAUUUCACAAAGCAAAACUGCUCCCUAAUCUCAGCAACCCCGAGAGCACAUCACAGUAUGGAGAAAACAUAAGAUCAAAGAAGCAUGCAACACUGAGCUAUCACACGGAGAACACCUGUCUGGGAAGCCACCUAAACUGACAGUGGACUUCUCAAGAGAAAGAAAUAAACUUUCUUGUUUUAGGACACUGAGAUUUUGGAGGUGUCUGUGCAGCAUAAUCUAUCCUAUCCUACUAUAUUCAACUCACAACUCCUUAUGCUCCAGGCCUACUUCUGUCUUUGAUUUCAUAUUAAAUUAAUUCCAACUUCCUCUUCUCUUAGAGCUAUAAUUUCAGUUAUAUAUGGCUGCAUAACAAACCACUCCAAAGCUUAAAACAACAAUAAAUUAUUAUUUCUCAUAAUUCUGUAUAACAAUAACAAGCAAAGUCAAGUCACCCAUAUUUUACAAAGUAGACUGGAGCUCAGAAAUCUAGACAUCUCAAAUCACACAACUAGUAAAUGGGAGAAGUGAAACUGGAACUCAUGUCUUACUACUGCAGGCCCUGUGUUUUUCAUUUUUUUUUUUUUUGGUUUGUUUUUUGCUAUUAAUGUAUCACAGUUACUUUGGCCAG